CCUACGGGAGGCAGCAGUGGGGAAUUUUGCGCACUGCUCGUAAGAGUGACGCAGCGACGCCGCGUGAAUGACGAAGGCCUUCGGGUCGUAAAGUUCUUUCGACAGGGAAGAAAAUGCCUAUAAGUAACUGUGUAUGUAUUGACGGUGCCUGUAUAAGCAGCCCCGGCUCACUCCGUGCCAGCAGCCGCGGUAAUACGGAAGGCCCGAGCGUUAUCCGGAUUCAUUGGGCUUAAAGGGAGCGUAGGCGGGCGUUCAAGUCAGCUGGAAAAUCGCGCGGCUCAACCGCGCCCCGCAGUUGAAACUGGACGCCUUGAGUUCACAACAGGCAUGCGGAAGUCGUGGUGUAGCGGUGAAAUGCAUAGAUAGCACGAGGAACCCCGAUUGCGAAGGCAGCCUGCCGGGGUGCGACUGACGCUGAGGCUCGAAGGUGCGGGUAUCAAACAGGAGUAGAUACCCGUGUAGUC
rnacentral:rRNA from 1 species